UACGUAGGGUGCAAGCGUUGUCCGGAAUUAUUGGGCGUAAAGAGCUCGUAGGCGGUUUGUCGCGUCUGCUGUGAAAACCCGAGGCUCACCCUCGGGCCUGCAGUGGGUACGGGCAGACUAGAGUGCGGUAGGGGAGAUUGGAAUUCCUGGUGUAGCGGUGGAAUGCGCAGAUAUCAGGAGGAACACCAAUGGCGAAGGCAGAUCUCUGGGCCGUAACUGACGCUGAGGAGCGAAAGCAUGGGGAGCGAACAGG
rnacentral:rRNA from 1 species